CGACUGCAGGUUACACCAAGAAGUGGACCGUCGUAUACAGUAAAGAUUAAGAAGACGUCGAGAUGCUGGUCUCGCACCUUGCUGAGAAAUUCCUUGGGCCCUUUGGAAAAGUGCUAGUUCUGGUGCCAUGAAAAAAAAAGAAAACAUCAUUACACCUCAGGUUGACAGGCUGGCCCCUGAAGCAAUGUGGUUCAGUGACCGGAGCUGGAAUGCUGCCGCGUAUUGCUGCUCGGCUCAGUGUGGUCGAGUACUGCAACAAGGACAGCAUCCGUCUUUGUGGACUUUUUCUGAAGGCAUUUAGUACACAUAAUUUCUCAUUUUGCUUGACAAGAAACUGUUGUGCAGCAUAACCUUUGCUAACAUUUGAAAAUGUAAAAUGAAUCCAUGAAUUGCCAAAGCAAACCUGCACCCAUGGAGACUUCAUAUUUACUUUGAAUAAAAAAAAUCGCAAAUACA